rnacentral:rRNA from 1 species
GACGAACGCUGGCGGCGUGCCUAACACAUGCAAGUCGAGCGGGGUUGAAGCGAGGGGUAACUCAAGCUUCUACCUAGCGGCGGACGGGUGAGUAACGCGUGGGCAACCUGCCUCAAGGUCUGGGAUAACAGCUCGAAAGGGCUGCUAAUACCGGAUAUGCCUAUGGCCUCGCAUGGGGCUAUGAGCAAAGGGGAAACCUGCCUUGAGAUGGGCCCGCGUCCCAUCAGCUAGUUGGUGAGGUAACAGCUCACCAAGGCGACGACGGGUAGCCGGCCUGAGAGGGUGACCGGCCACACUGGGACUGAGACACGGCCCAGACUCCUACGGGGGGCAGCAGUGGGGGAUCUUGCACAAUGGGCGAAAGCCUGAUGCAGCGACGCCGCGUGAGCGAAGAAGGCCUUCGGUUGUAAAGCUCUGUCUGGAGGGACGGAAGGAAGGUAGACGGUACCGUCCGGAGGAAGCCGACGGCGUAACUACGUGCCAGCAGCCGCGGUAAACGACGAG